rnacentral:rRNA from 1 species
GCUAAACGCGAAGAACCUUACCAAGGCUUGACAUGGAUUUCUAAGCACGUGAAAGCGUGUGACCCUUCGGGGGACUUCCACAGGUGCUGCAUGGCCGUCGUCAGCUCGUGUCGUGAGAUGUUGGGUUAAGUCCCGCAACGAGCGCAACCCUUGUGACUAGUUGCCAGCGGGUAAAGCCGGGAACUCUAGUCAGACUGCCCAGAUCAACUGGGAGGAAGGUGGGGACGACGUCAGGUCAGUAUGGCCCUUACGCCUAGGGCUGCACACGUACUACAAUGCCCAGUACAAUGAGAGCCGAUACCGCGAGGUGGAGGAAAUCUGGAAAACUGGGCCCAGUUCGGAUUGGAGGCUGCAACUCGCCUCCAUGAAGUUGGAAUCGCUAGUAAUGGCGCAUCAUCUACGGCGCCGUGAAUACGUUCCCGGGUCUUGUACACACCG